UACAGAGGUCUCAAGCGUUGUUCGGAUUCAUUGGGCGUAAAGGGUGCGUAGGCGGCGCGGUAAGUCGGGUGUGAAAUCUCGGAGCUUAACUCCGAAGCUGCAUUCGAUACUGCCGUGCUUGAGGACUGGAGAGGAGACUGGAAUUUACGGUGUAGCGGUGAAAUGCGUAGAUAUCGUAAGGAAGACCAGUGGCGAAGGCGGGUCUCUGGACAGUUCCUGACGCUGAGGCACGAAGGUCAGGGGAGCAAACGGG
rnacentral:rRNA from 1 species